GGCCCCAUCGUCUAGCCUGGUCUAGGACGCGAGAUUCUCAUUCUCGUGACACCGGUUCAAAUCCGGUUGGGGCUACCA
rnacentral:tRNA from 1 species